UCUGAUCAGCGCUCUCCUUGUUCGGCCUGUGAGUUUAGGUGGACGGCCUUGUCUUGGUAGGUUUACAGUUUACAAGAUUCCUGACUUCUUCUUCCACAUACAUAGGCUGGCUCCAUCUCUACUUUCCAGUUUCUUUUUUCCAGACACAUCGAGACAUCACUAAACAACCUUAUCUCCCUUACCCGCGUCAGUAUCAUUUCUUGCUACCAGUCUCUUAAUGAAUUAGUGAAGGAUCUUCACCCAGUUGCAUGUGCCAGUGCAAAGAAGCUAAAAAAGUCUGAAGAGCCUUCUAGGUGAAAAAAGAGUAAACGCACUCUAAGGAAGUUAAGAAUGACUUCUGCUCUAACUGCAAGCCCAAAGCACCUAAGGCUCCUAUAUUAUCUCCACAUCCAGCCCCUGCAACUGUUUGUGCUACUCCUAUUCACACUACAGCUACUGAGGAGACCCCUGUGCAUCCUAUCACAGAACUCUCAGAUCCCUCUACCAUCCACCUCACCGAUGUCACCUCAGCUUGGUAGCCUUUUGGACUGUAUCAAACAUCCUAUUAAAUCCUCCCUCACUAAUACUGCACCACUUAAGAAGCACAGGGAACCAUGCCCCCUACUUACAUCCUCCAACUCAGAGGAGGGCCAGCUCUCCAACUUAGAUCCAGAGCCUCUCUUUGACUCAGAAUAACUCUCCUCAUUCUAGCUCCUUAGAGGACAGUGAAGAGGACCAUACUUCAUUGGCCAAACCGGGAACCUCAAAACACCUACUGGGAAAACUGAUUCAUCCUUGGCCAGACUAUCCAAGCUGGUCCAAGGUCCUGAAAUGCAGCCUCUUCAGCUUGCAAGAUGGUAUAUCUUGCAAGCUGAAGAGGCUGCAUUUCAGGACCCAAUGGACAAGAGGAUGGAAACCAUUCUAAAAAAGUCCUUUACUAAGACGGCAUCAAUUCUUAGGCCAGCAGUCAUUUUUACAGAUCUUGCUUGCACUGUGAGACAUUGGGCUCAAGAACUGGCCUGCAAACCUCCCUCCUCCUCACAUCAUCUUACAUCUGAACUUGAACUGCACCUGACCAUCCUCUCAAAUGCUGUUAUCGACAUUGGCAGACUAGUGGUAAAUGCCGCAGCCAGCUUAGUCAUGGCACAACGUGCUCUUUGGCUACAUCACAGGUUACUUGCCCUUAAAUUCACAAGGGUGUCUCUUUUUGGCCCCGACCUUAAGCAAAUGAUCAUGGACAUCAUGGGUGGAAAAGUACUUUUCAAGCUCAAAGGAAAAAGCAUAGGCUGGACCAGUCUGUUAGUCAAUUCGCUAGAAGAUGUCCUGAGCCUGAACCUGUCUGAGCUUUACAUUGAUUUGGUAAGUAGUGGCACAGCCAGCACAUAUUUUGGGAAAGAGGAGUCAAGAGCCUUGUUCUUCUGACCUGCCUCAAGAGGUGAAAAAAAUACAAAACCUCUACGUGUGCACUAACAGUCCGGGCCUACUAGAAAGGAAUUUUCCGGUCUAAAAUCCCCUUUUUUUUACAAAUGGAGUGCUGGUCCUGCUAUAUUGCAUAUAUAUGCUUGUGUGUGUAAUAUAUAUAAUAUAUAGUUUAUUGAACUUGAUGAAGAAAAGCAGUAAUUUUCACUUGGCUUUCAUUUCAUAUUGUCCCCAGAAAAGCUGGUUGAGGAAGACUUGGAGGAGGACCAGGAUGUGUUCACCCCAGAAAAGCUAAUUUUAGUGCGUGAGGAAUACCUGGAGGCAGAUGCGGCUGGUAAGAAGUUACUGGAGAAGCGCUAUGGCAAGCAUAUGAUACUAAAAGCAGUGGAAAGAAAAUCUACUGAAUGGCUGGAGACAAAUACCCAGCAGUGCCCAAACUGCAAUGCCAGUAUCCAGGCAAGUCAAGGAACAAACUGCAACCUUUAGCACUAAGUCCUUGCCCGACUCUCCAUUUUUUGUUAAAGAAUAUUUGUUAGUUAUACAGUAUGUGUGCAUACAAAUCAGUUGCAUCAAACCUUCCAGUGGAUUACAAGUCCCUGGGAGCAUUGUGUUACUGCCUGCAAUUGUUUUAUUAAACUGGCGCAACCUAUAAACCAUAAAUUUCUUAAUAGUACCCACUGCAUGUUUACUUCUACAGAAAGAUGGCGGCUGCAACAAGAUGAUUUGUAGAAAAUGUAACAAAUACUUCUGUUGGCUGUGCUUUGCUGUACUGUCCACAGAAAACCCGUACGAUCAUUUCAAAGAUAUUUCAUCAGUCUGCUUCAAUCAGAUGUGGAAAGAAGAUAGGGCAGAGCCCGAAACAUGAACACUAACCAUCAGUGCAUAGGAGGAUGCGCUGUUAUUGGCACAUUGUUAAAGAGUGUUUUCCCUUAAACAGACACAAACAAUAUGAUGAGAGAAAUGCAGAAAAGUACCCUUAUUCCUCAGUGCCUGUUUAGUGGAAAAUAAAUGGCAAAUAAACCACAGCCCUUUUAUCCGUAA